rnacentral:rRNA from 1 species
GGGUUGUGAGGUUAAGCGACUAAGCGUACACGGUGGAUGCCCUGGCAGUCAGAGGCGAUGAAGGACGUGCUAAUCUGCGAUAAGCGCCGGUAAGGUGAUAUGAACCGUUAUAACCGGCGAUACCCGAAUGGGGAAACCCAGUGUGACUCGUCACACUAUCAUUAACUGAAUCCAUAGGUUAAUGAGGCGAACCGGGGGAACUGAAACAUCUAAGUACCCCGAGGAAAAGAAAUCAACCGAGAUUCCCCCAGUAGCGGCGAGCGAACGGGGAGGAGCCCAGAGCCUGAAUCAGCAUGUGUGUUAGUGGAAGCGUCUGGAAAGGCGCGCGAUACAGGGUGACAGCCCCGUACACAAAAGCGCAUGUGCUGUGAGCUCGAUGAGUAGGGCGGGACACGUGGUAUCCUGUCUGAAUAUGGGGGGACCAUCCUCCAAGGCUAAAUACUCCUGACUGACCGAUAGUGAACCAGUACCGUGAGGGAAAGGCGAAAAGAACCCCGGCGAGGGGAGUGAAAAAGAACCUGAAACCGUGUACGUACAAGCAGUGGGAGCCCCACCACCAAAGCAUUCUCUGGUGUUGAAGGCCCUGCAAAGCAGCAUCGCGGUGGCGGAGCGUCGUUUGCGACGCCCAACACACAAAACAAGCGGUGAGUGCUUUGGGGUGGGGUGACUGCGUACCUUUUGUAUAAUGGGUCAGCGACUUAUAUUCUGUAGCAAGGUUAACCGUAUAGGGGAGCCGUAGGGAAACCGAGUCUUAACCGGGCGUUAAGUUGCAGGGUAUAGACCCGAAACCCGGUGAUCUAGCCAUGGGCAGGUUGAAGGUUGGGUAACACUAACUGGAGGACCGAACCGACUAAUGUUGAAAAAUUAGCGGAUGACCUGUGGCUGGGGGUGAAAGGCCAAUCAAACCGGGAGAUAGCUGGUUCUCCCCGAAAGCUAUUUAGGUAGCGCCUCGUGAAUUCAUCUCCGGGGGUAGAGCACUGUUUCGGCUAGGGGGCCAUCCCGGCUUACCAACCCGAUGCAAACUGCGAAUACCGGAGAAUGUUAUCACGGGAGACACACGGCGGGUGCUAACGUCCGUCGUGAAGAGGGAAACAACCCAGACCGCCAGCUAAGGUCCCAAAGUCAUGGUUAAGUGGGAAACGAUGUGGGAAGGCCCAGACAGCCAGGAUGUUGGCUUAGAUGCAGCCAUCAUUUAAAGAAAGCGUAAUAGCUCACUGGUCGAGUCGGCCUGCGCGGAAGAUGUAACGGGGCUAAACCAUGCACCGAAGCUGCGGCAGCGA